CAUAUCAAUAAGCGGAGGAAAAGAAACUAACAAGGAUUCCCCUAGUAACUGCGAGUGAAGCGGGAAAAGCUCAAAUUUAAAAUCUGGCAGUCUUUGGCUGUCCGAGUUGUAAUCUAGAGAAGUGUUAUCCGCGCUGGACCGUGUACAAGUCUCCUGGAAUGGAGCGUCACAGAGGGUGAGAAUCCCGUCUUUGACACGGACUGCCAGGGCUUUGUGAUAUGCUCUCAAAGAGUCGAGUUGUUUGGGAAUGCAGCUCAAAAUGGGUGGUAAAUUCCAUCUAAAGCUAAAUAUUGGCGAGAGACCGAUAGCGAACAAGUACCGUGAGGGAAAGAUGAAAAGAACUUUGGAAAGAGAGUUAAACAGUACGUGAAAUUGCUGAAAGGGAAACGCUUGAAGUCAGUCGCGUCGUCCAGGGAUCAACCUUGCUUUUGCUUGGUGCACUUUCUGGUUGACGGGUCAGCAUCAAUUUUGACUAUUGGAAAAAGAUUGGGGGAAUGUGACAUCUUUGGAUGUGUUAUAGCCCUUGGUUGCAUACAAUGGUUGGGAUUGAGGAACUCAGCACGCCGCAAGGCCGGGUUUUUAACCACGUACGUGCUUAGGAUGCUGGCAUAAUGGCUUUAAUCGACCCGUCUUGAAACACGGACCAAGGAGUCUAACAUGCCUGCGAGUGUUUGGGUGGAAAACCCGAGCGCGUAAUGAAAGUGAAAGUUGAGAUCCCUGUCGUGGGGAGCAUCGACGCCCGGACCAGACCUUUUGUGACGGUUCCGCGGUAGAGCAUGUAUGUUGGGACCCGAAAGAUGGUGAACUAUGCCUGAAUAGGGUGAAGCCAGAGGAAACUCUGGUGGAGGCUCGUAGCGAUUCUGACGUGCAAAUCGAUCGUCAAAUUUGGGUAUAGGGGCGAAAGACUAAUCGAACCAUCUAGUAGCUGGUUCCUGCC
rnacentral:rRNA from 1 species